UGUGGCCCUUUGCUGGACUCUCUCUGGACUGUCCAUGUCUCUCUUGCAGUGGGGAGCCCAGAACUGGGCACAGCAUUUCAGGUGUGGCCUCACCA
rnacentral:miRNA from 12 species